GAGAGAUCCAUUUCCAGUACCCACUACAAUAUUGUCCAGAUAUUCUGAGUAAUACAUACUAGUGUAUAAAUUACCAUCAGUGUUCAAUAUUCCACCGGACAAUGGAUUAAAAUGUAGCAUAUUAGCCUGUUCCACAUUCAACUUUGAAGCUUUUGGUAAAGAGCUUGUAUGAUGCACAGAACUCGUAGAAAACUCAGCAAACACAG
rnacentral:misc_RNA from 1 species